GAUGAACGCUGGCGGCGUGCCUAACACAUGCAAGUCGAACGAAGCACCUUACCUGAUUCUUCGGAUGAAAGUUUGGUGACUGAGUGGCGGACGGGUGAGUAACGCGUGGGUAACCUGCCCUGUACAGGGGGAUAACAGCUGGAAACGGCUGCUAAUACCGCAUAAGCGCACGAGGAGACAUCUCCUUGUGUGAAAAACUCCGGUGGUACAGGAUGGGCCCGCGUCUGAUUAGCUGGUUGGCAGGGUAACGGCCUACCAAGGCAACGAUCAGUAGCCGGUCUGAGAGGAUGAACGGACACAUUGGAACUGAGACACGGUCCAAACUCCUACGGGAGGCAGCAGUGGGGAAUAUUGCAAAAUGGGGGAAACCCUGAUGCAGCAACGCCGCGUGAGUGAAGAAGUAUUUCGGUAUGUAAAGCUCUAUCAGCAGGGAAGAUAAUGACGGUACCUGACUAAGAAGCUCCGGCUAAAUACGUG
rnacentral:rRNA from 1 species